rnacentral:rRNA from 1 species
CCACCCCUUCCCAUCCCGAACAGGACCGUGAAACAGCUCCGCGCCGAUGAUAGUGCGGAUUCCCGUGUGAAAGUAGGUCAUCGCCAGGC